UUGUAGUCAAGCAUUAUUUGUAAUUAUGUGUCUAUUUGUCUGCUGCCUUGCUAUCUUUUUCCGCAGGAUGUCAGCUCUACGAGGAAAGGGAUGGAUUCUGUCAUUUUCAACAGCCAUACCUGGAAAAGCCUGGCACAGAAUAGUUGCUCAAGUAUUAGAUAGAGAUGCCUAAACUCUAAGAAGAUGCUUGGAAACGUCUCCGACCGAAUGGCCAUGAGAACGGAGUCGUUGCUUGAAAAGUGGUUUUAUCUCACAUUACAAAGACAAACCAAGCAAAGAGGAAGAGUUGGAGAGGAGAGACCGUGAAGACACGGAGAAUUCCGGGACUCUGCUGUCUAUCUCCGCAUAGGCUUGCUGGGAUCGGGGCGCUGCUGAUUAGCACUGGCUCUUGCUUAAGAGAAAGGAGAAAUAUCUAAAAUAAAAAAAUAGUGACAACUGA